rnacentral:rRNA from 1 species
GAUGAACGCUAGCGGCAGGCUUAACACAUGCAAGUCGAGGGGUAUGCCGAUUUAUCGGCAGAGACCGGCGCACGGGUGCGUAACGCGUAUGCAAUCUACCUUUCACAGAGGGAUAGCCCAGAGAAAUUUGGAUUAAUACCUCAUAGUAUAGCAGUUUCGCAUGAAACCACUAUUAAAGUUCCAACGGUGAAAGAUGAGCAUGCGUCCCAUUAGCUAGAUGGUAAGGUAACGGCUUACCAUGGCUACGAUGGGUAGGGGUCCUGAGAGGGAGAUCCCCCCACACUGGUACUGAGACACGGACCAGACUCCUACGGGAGGCAGCAGUGAGGAAUAUUGGUCAAUGGACGCAAGUCUGAACCAGCCAUGCCGCGUGCAGGAUGACGGUCCUAUGGAUUGUAAACUGCUUUUGUACGAGAAGAAACAACAUUACGUGUAAUGUCUUGACGGUAUCGUAAGAAUAAGGAUCGGCUAACUCCGUGCCAG